rnacentral:lncRNA from 1 species
UCACUUUUCCCAAAAUUUUCUAUUAUAGUGGGACAACCUUAAAGCCUAUAUCCCUUUCUUUUUCUAUCUCUCUCUGGAUUCGUCCCAAAAUCCCCUCAUUAAUCAAUCUCUUUUGUUUCCUUGAUUUUACAGCUUAAAUCUCUCAAGAUCAAAAAGUUCUGACUGGUAAUUCUUAUUGUCUCAAGGCUUGUUACUAUAGGAUCUCCCCUCAAAUCUUUCUCAUUGAUAUUUACAUGUAAGCUUUAUUUUUUUUUUAAUUUGCUUUAGAGAUUUUAGGUUUUCAAUUAUGAAUAUAGGAUUUGUCAUGUUGAUUCCAUUUUUUAUUUGGAGCAAUUUCUUAUAUGUUGGGUUCAUUUAUUUUUCUUACAUUUAGGAGUAAUAUAUUAGAGGCUGAAAUUUCUCAUUUGUGCCUUAGCAAUCCGAAAUUGUGUAUAUCAAUCACAUAAUAGGUUUUAUCUUAUAAAUUUUGGGUAUAUGGACAUCUAUUAGAAUUUAAUCUGCAUUCAUGCUUUUAGUCUUGUUAGAAUCUUUAAGUGAUUCUCUUUAAUCUACUCCAUAAGCCAAGGUCUGGAAGGGGGAAUCUGUCUAUUUUUUUCUCAUACAGUGAUUUGUUUGCAACCUGCAAGGUAAAAGGAUUGAUCCUUAACAGCCAGAAUUUUCUCAAAAAUGCGACAUUUAUGGGUUGCAUGGGCAUCUUAAAGGAGGGAAAACUUCAGUUGAGGUAAAUCUUUAUGAUUUCUCAUUAUUUGUGGACUUUCCUUUACUAAUUCUAGUUUUGUUGCUUUGUUGGUUGUUCUGUUGAUUCUGUUGUUUUGUCACGUCUCUUAUACUUAAGCCCAUGAAUAUCAAUCCCUCCAUUUGGUUAGAGUAAUGGUCGUUGUUGCAUUAUUCCAACCAAUUGAUCCUUAAGUGAGAUCCAUAAGUGAAGACUUAUCUCCGAAUUUAGUCUCAUGCUUGUGCUUUUCUUUUUACUUUGUUUGAAUGAAGAUUUAAAUUAAUCUAAAUUCGUUUGCUCUUGGUAGUAUCUGGGUUUUAUUUGUUAAGCUAUAAAACUUGAAUUUGACUUAUUAAAUUGGUCUUUGGACACAAACAAAUUUAUUAACUAGCCCACAUUAAUUGGUUCUUUAGAUUUUGCCCAUUCAUAGGGACUACACGCUGAGAGUUGUCAAAAGCCUCUCAAAAUUCAUGAUAGCCUCAUGUUUUAUUUAUAUUAUUAGUAGCAUCAAUACAUAAUUCUUUUAGAUUAAACUGAAUGCACUGCUAGUAUUGAUACUCUAAAAAAAAAAAAAAAUUGGCUGCAGAAGGCAAUAUUUAAUUGAUACAAAGGCAGGACUAAGUUAUCAUAAUUGCUCGUUGCAUUUGUGUAGUUUAGAAUAUGAAUGAAAUGUUGUUCUUAAAUUUAUGUCUAACAUAGGUACAAAAUGAGUAGAAGAUUAGUUGGGUAGAUGUAAUGUGACGAAAAAUAAAAUGGCUUCCACAUGAAUUAAAGAAUAUAGUUCUAGAAUUUCUUUAUUAAUGUUCUAGUUGAUUUAUUGCAACACUUGAUUUUCAUUUCCUACUCACUAUUGCUACUUUUAUCCUUUUCUUUUCCACAAUGCUAUAUACUUAUUAUAUCCUUAAUGGCCUAGCAUUUAUGGAUGAUAUUGAAUGGUUUGGAUGAAUGUAAGCGUGAAUUGAAGUUGAGUACACUUUAAUUUUUGUAAUUUACUUAUAUGGGAAAAUUUUGUUAAGAAGGCAUUAUUUUGUUUCUUUUUUAUUAGCAGAAUAAAAUUCUUAUUUGUUUUCAAAUUCAUAAUACAGGUGAUCAAGGAUAUUGUGCAAAAAUGUAUUGAAGAAUGAGGACAAAUUGAAGAUAAUAUAUAGUUCUUUUUUAAAGAUCACUAGAAAGUAUAGAAGUAUGACACUUGCAUACUUAUUUUUUAUAAAUGUUUUAUAGUUGAAUGUUUAUUAUAUGAUUAUGGAUCUUUAAAUAUUUUUAUUUUGUCAAUGAAUGAUAUAUAAUUUCUUUUUUAUCAAUGGAAUGACUAAAAUGAUAUUUUGA